rnacentral:lncRNA from 1 species
CAGCUGUUCUGUGAUCCUGUGGUUUCCAUAGGUUGUUUCAAAACAUUUUAAAUGAUUGUUUUUACUAAACAAGGUGAUGGCCACCAUCAUUACUUUUCUUCUUUCCUCACUUCCCUGCAUGAUUACUGACUUAUAAAACUCAAUAAGUAAUAUAAUGGACAAAUUUGUCUAACGUUCUCAUGGAAAGAAUCCAAAUAAAAUCAGGAUACAGCAGAGCACUGAUUUUUUUUCUAUGUACUUUCAACUUUCUUUUCUUGGCUUCAUAUUUAAGUCCCCUUCUUGAAAAAUUAAUGUUUUCCUCCAUGUUGCAUGUAUUGAUUAUUAGUGGC